rnacentral:rRNA from 1 species
AGUACGUGAAACUGCUUAGAGGUUAAACCCGAUGAACCUGAAUAUCCAUUAUGGAAAAUUCAAUACUGAUAAUAAGAUAUGAAUAAUAUUUUUUAAUUAGUGUGCAAUUUUUCCAUAUAAGGACAUUGUAAUCUGUUAAUGUUAUAAAUAUUUAUCAAAAGAUUUUUUCUGAAGUUUGUUCAAAUUGUUUAUUUUCGGAUAUUCAACAUAGAAUAAAUGUUAAAAAUUGGAUAAAUCAUUGACAGAUAUAAUUAUAUAAAAUGCUAAAAUUUUUCGGAAUUUAACAAUGGUAGAUGAGUCUAAUGAUUUAUUUAUUUAAUUGUUUGCAUUUUUAUGAUUAACAAUGCGAUAGAUUCAGGAUACCUUCGGGACCCGUCUUGAAACACGGACCAAGGAGUCUAACAUAUGUGCAAGUCAUUGAGUAUAAUAAACUUAAAGGCGUAAUUAACUUAACUUAUAUAUGGGAUUAAUUUAUAAUUUAUAAUGAAUAAUUUAUUCAAUCCCGGGGCGUUCUAUAUAGUUAUGUAUAUUAAUAUUUAUAUUAUUUAUACCUCUAACUAGAGC